UGACGUUAUACAUGUAAUAAAAAUUACGACGUCACGAAUUUUGAUGUUUUUUUUUGCCAAAAUGUUGGAUUUGCGUCGCUUCUACAGGGAAAACGAAGUCGGUAACCAUAUUUUUGUUAAUAUCAUCUAAUUCGACAGACAAAGAGGAAGAAAAAAAUGAAUUUAAAAAAAAUUUCUAUGGAGCGGUUCACGCGAUUUAUACCGGAAACCGAAAAUUGUAGAAGAAAAAUAUAGAUUUCCCCUAUAUAUUCAAUGUAAUUUUAGUACCCUCUCGGACCAUCGGUGACAUACACUUUUUUUUACAUUUUCUGAUGUAUAUUUUCAAUAUCUAAUUGAGUUCUAAAUUUU
rnacentral:lncRNA from 1 species